CCUGUCAAGCUCCGGAAGCGGGGGCUGCGGCCGACUUGCUCCGUCGUGGGAGGCUCGGGGGGAAGCUCGUGUUGUUUCUUUGCUCCACUGUCAGACCCGACCGCGGAGCCGCCUAUAGCGCCGGGGCCGGGGCCAUACUCCAGCCCCUGGAAACCAUCAUCAAACCAAGCUGUGGCCCAGGAAGCUUUGAAAGAUCUGCUGACACAUCACAGAUGUUCUUUGAAAAAGUCAUACUACAGAAGAAUAGGUGCUGCGGAAAGGAUGAUACCACAAUAGCAACAGUACCUCGCACUGACAUAUUCAAAAGUGCUCUACAAGUCUUAACUAAUUCAUCCUCACAACACCCCAGUGAUGUAGGAAAGCAUCACUAUUUUACACUAGCGUUCCCACCAGAAGUAGUCUGUUGGCAGUCUUGAUUGAAAUCUGAGUGUUUGAGCUCGAAGGUCACGCAAUCAAAGAACUAAGACAGCACACAACUAAGAUCGCAGAACAAAGACCGAAUAUUCACAAUAAAUUGGAUACAUCAUUUGGUCAACUGUGACUAGUAUGCGCACAAAAGCUGCCAAGGCGUUUUUCUGCAAGUCAGAAGACAAAACUUCAUAACAUGGAGUGCUUCCUACGGAGAAAGCAUAGGGGGCAAUUAAAAGUCCAUUAAUUAUUCAAACUAUUACACAUGUAAGGAAUCACAGCACCAACACCACCACACAAAGCAAACAUACCUGUCUCAAGAAGCUGAAAAGCAAAGUUACGGAUUCCAAGUAUAAACUGCUUCUCGGUAAAGACCUCUUUUAUUUCUUUUGAAAGAUAUCUUCCGAUUAUCUAAAAAAUAAAAUUUUUAAAAAAAAAGUGUUUGAGCUUUUCCUCUUAUUCUGUAACUUGAAUUGGUCUUUAAUUACAAACAAAUAUUUUUAAAGGAAUAACAUAUCCUUCUAAUAAUCAAUUUGGCAGACACAUUUUUAAUAGGCUAACAAAUAUAACAUUAUGCAAAGCAUUAGAAAAUGUUAAUGUUGUUUGGGUAAUCAUAACAAGAAUCUUAGUAUUUAAAACAAUACUGACAGAAUAAUAAAUCAUAUUAGAAACUGGUUUAUGGUCCUUGUCUUUGAAAAAGUUGCCUUGCUGUCAAAAGUGACAUUCCCCAUCUGUGAAAUGGGUGUUGCUGAAAAGGAAAGUGAGAUCCAGAAGUGAAGGAACCUGUCCUAGGUCAACAGUGAGUCAGUGGAAGAGCCAGCAAUAAACCA